AGUGAACGCUGGCGGCAGGCCUAACACAUGCAAGUCGAGCGGCAGCGCGUCCGACCACCCUCGGGUGGUCGGAUGGCGGCGAGCGGCGGACGGGUGAGGAAUGCAUCGGAAUCUGCCUCGUUGUGGGGGAUAACGUAGGGAAACUUACGCUAAUACCGCAUACGACCUACGGGUGAAAGUGGGGGACCUUCGGGCCUCACGCGAUGAGAUGAGCCGAUGCCGGAUUAGCUAGUUGGCGGGGUAAAGGCCCACCAAGGCGACGAUCCGUAGCUGGUCUGAGAGGAUGAUCAGCCACACUGGAACUGAGACACGGUCCAGACUCCUACGGGAGGCAGCAGUGGGGAAUAUUGGACAAUGGGGGCAACCCUGAUCCAGCCAUGCCGCGUGUGUGAAGAAGGCCUGGUUGUAAGCACUUUGUUGGG
rnacentral:rRNA from 1 species